rnacentral:misc_RNA from 1 species
GUAGGUGAACCUGCGGAAGGAUCAUUAACGAUUCGACCCUCUUCUGGGUCAUAUUCUUUGGCUGUGCGCCUCACGCUGCACGCCGUUGAAAACCUCCCACACCAUGUGCACCUUUCGGUCGCGUUUUCCGGCGCUUCCGCUUUUUUACAUCCAACCACAGUCUCGAAUGUCUUUACUCAAUAACGAAAUAACAACUUUCAACAACGGAUCUCUUGGCUCUCGCAUCGAUGAAGAACGCAGCAUCUGACUG